rnacentral:rRNA from 1 species
GUGUCAGCAGCCGCGGUAAUACGUAGGGGGCAAGCGUUGUCCGGAUUUAUUGGGCGUAAAGAGCGUGUAGGCGGCUAGGUAGGUCCGUUGUGAAAACUCGAGGCUCAACCUCGAGACGCCGGUGGAAACCAUCUAGCUAGAGUCCGGAAGAGGAGAGUGGAAUUCCUGGUGUAGCGGUGAAAUGCGCAGAUAUCAGGAAGAACACCCGUGGCGAAGGCGGCUCUCUGGUACGUGACUGACGCUGAGACGCGAAAGCGUGGGGAGCGAACAGGAUUAGAUACCCCUGUAGUCC